UGUCCUGGAGAUGCUGAGCUGCUCCAAGUUCUCCGGGCUGGAGACAUGGCUCUGCAUGCCGUCCUCCUUACUGCUGCCCAGCGGCCCGGACCUCACCCCCACCUCCUCCUCUUCACAUGCAUCCAACCAGCCGACCUCCUCUGCCUCAUCCUCCUCAUCCUCAGCCUCCAACUGCCGUCGCUCCACCUGCAGCGAUCCAGGAGAGACGCUCAGGUCGUGGGACGGCGACUCCUCCCUCCCCCCUCCUGCUCUCCUCCCAGUCUCCUCCACCCCCGCUGGACAGUCCUCCUCCCCCCCCCUCCUCCUCCUCCGCCGGGGGGGGCAUCAGGAAGCGUCGGCGCCUUGCUGCCAGUCCCGGAGGACUCCACUGGAACUCUGCAGGUUUGGUGCAACGGGACUGGUCACCUGACCCGUCUCCGGUGUCGGGGGAGAACGCAACAGCAGGACGAGGGGCGAGCCCCCCCCCCUGGUGCAGGUAGGCGGGGCCACGUGGGGGGCCGACCGGGCUGCCCUGAGACUCCUGAGUCGGCUGGAGAGAGGCAGGAAGAAGGUCCACGGCAUCCAGAGUCUGGGAACCACUGGCAGAUACGACUCCAGGAGGAAGUAAGUCAUCAUCAUCAUCAUCAUCAUCAGUCGGUUCUCUUUGAUCUUCGUGUAUUCUGAGAGCAAGAAGUCCUGAUGUGAAGAAGCAGGAGUUCUGGCCUCUGCUUUCAACAGCAACCGGAUUAAAUCGCCCUGCUUUUUGUUUUCCAUCUUCGCUCGGUGGGGUCGGGUGGAGGGGGGGUGGCUGCUGGUAGUAAAUAUUCUCUGGUACUAACAUGAAGUCACACCGAUGUCGAACUUGCUCUGACUAAAAGAAUUAAAGUGGUGGAUGAUGUUUGUUGAUUUCAGUCGUGAUGCUUCAGCCUCAUGUUUGGUCUCCUCGUCUGAGGAGACGCUGACAGCAUAUCAGACAAGAACAACAACAGCGUGAUGUUCAGAACAUUCAGCAGCAUCCGCGGCUUUAAUAACGCUCCACACACACCGAUGGGCCCAAGGCAGCCAUCAGGAAUAAUGGCCUCCGUCUACGCGUUGCCAUGGCGAUCGGGUGGAGGCGAUGAGCUCGGUGGGAGACUCUGAGGACAACUUCUGGUGUUUGUGGAUCCCAGAGCUGCUGGAGUGGAUUCUGAUAACGAGAAGCUCCAUAUAACAAUAAUCACAAAUGAGUCAACCAUUGGAAUAAAAAACUGUUUUAGUUUCAGCUUCCUCCACUCGUGCUUUUUAGAUUCCUACAGAUAUUUGUGUUAAUUUGAUUUAAUAACUUCUCUAAUGACCAGUGGAGGAUGUAUUUAAACAACUUUAACGUGUCAUCAUCACACAAAUCCGACUGAGCUGUAAACUCUGUAACUGCCUUAAUGUUGAUUUAAAACCGUCUUGUGGUUUAUUCAAUUACAAUAAUGGACUCAAACAUUUAGAUGGACAUUUGUUUAAUUAUCCAUUCAAAUCUUAAAUCAAACACCAUCUAAACAAAGUUAAUAAACUUUGGUAGUAACUGUUGUCACAUUCUACCUCCUCUCAUUCUAGUUGGCUUCCUUUCCCCACGUCCUACUUUCUCUCCCGUAUACACACGUACAGACAAGUGCAGUAAAAGACUACACAAUAGUGCAAAAGAUGACAGUUUCAUAAUUUCAGUGCUCCAACUAUUUGAUUUACAUGGAAAUAUGCAGCUAUAUAUGUUUAUAUUUGCAUAUAGAUAUAAAUCUAUUCUAUAUAACGAAUAUAUAAAUCUAUUUCUAUAUAUACAUAGUGCAUAGCUAUAUAAAUCUGUAUGUAUUCAUGUUUACAGGCGUGUUUUACUUUCGUAAAAGGUUCUCCUUCACCUGUUGCUCCUCCACGGUAACCAUGGAAACAGAGCCCAGCCAGCCAUCGCCACAAUUGUUUUAUUUCUCUCACCACACAGAGAAGCCGUAACUCCUGAUGUUCUCCGUGUGGGCGUGUGCGUGUGUGUGUGUGUAUGUGAUGUUCAUCACUGUCGUCACGAUGUACAAACAUCUGGAUUUAUGGAGCUAAUAACACUUCACUUACUUACCUUUAGGGUUACUGAUUUAAAUCGUGUGUAGACAUCGACUACUUCAUACACUAAAUGCACCCUUAUAGACGGCAAAUACUUUUAUACCAUAAAUAAACUUAAAUAUCAUGAAUAUACUUAAAUAACACAAACACACAAACUGCAAAAAAUGUCUAGAGUUAAAGUUAUUACAAUCAGCUGCUACUAUAUUUGAAUAAUUGAAUUUGGAUCUUUUCACCAUCUGAUGGUGAUCAAGAUGAUCAGAAGAAACACGUUGCAGCAGAGAAAAUAAAAUGAAUAUAUGAUAUACAGUAAUAAUAUAUGAUAUACAGUAAUAAUAUAUGAUAUACAGUAAUGAAUAUAUGAUAUACAGUAAUGAAUAUA
ensembl:lncRNA